rnacentral:rRNA from 1 species
GACGAACGCUGGCGGCGCGCCUAACACAUGCAAGUCGAACGGAAUCAAGAGGAGCUUGCUUUUCCUGAUUUAGUGGCGAACGGGUGAGUAACGCGUGAGUAACCUGCCCUGGAGUGGGGGACAACAGUUGGAAACGACUGCUAAUACCGCAUAAGCCCACGGUACCGCAUGGUACUGAGGGAAAAGGAUUUAUUCGCUUCAGGAUGGACUCGCGUCCAAUUAGCUAGUUGGUGAGGUAACGGCCCACCAAGGCGACGAUUGGUAGCCGGACUGAGAGGUUGAACGGCCACAUUGGGACUGAGACACGGCCCAGACUCCUACGGGAGGCAGCAGUGGGGGAUAUUGCACAAUGGGGGAAACCCUGAUGCAGCGACGCCGCGUGGAGGAAGAAGGUUUUCGGAUUGUAAACUCCUGUCGUUAGGGACGAUAAUGACGGUACCUAACAAGAAAGCACCGGCUAACUACGUGCCAGCAGCCGCGGUAAAACGUAGGGUGCAAGCGUUGUCCGGAAUUACUGGGUGUAAAGGGAGCGCAGGCGGACCGGCAAGUUGGAAGUGAAAUCCAUGGGCUCAACCCGUGAAUUGCUUUCAAAACUGCUGGCCUUGAGUAGUGCAGAGGUAGGUGGAAUUCCCGGUGUAGCGGUGGAAUGCGUAGAUAUCGGGAGGAACACCAGUGGCGAAGGCGACCUACUGGGCACCAACUGACGCUGAGGCUCGAAAGCAUGGGUAGCAAACAAGAUUAGAUACCCUGGUAGUCCAUGCCGUAAACGAC